AAACACGGCAGCGCAAAUCGGAUUAUCGGACACAUCGCUCGGUACUCACACUCCACUCUCAGUGGAGAUAGCCUUUGGCAAGUCUUCAGUAGCAUCGACCAUCGCCUCCACUCCCUGCCCGAGUCCUGGCCGCCGGCUCCCAGGGCCACCCCCUCACCGGCUUCCCCACGACCGGCGCAAGGAGAUCCCCCGCCCCUGCGUCCCGCCGCUGCAGCGAGUUCUACCUCUCUCAUGUCUCCUUACCGCUACAGCAAGAACCAGACCUUCCCCUGCCUCCCUACCGCUGCAGCGAGUUCUGUUCAGCAAACAUCACGCCCGCAACCCGGUUGAUGGAUCCACAACACCGGAAUCCUCCUCCUGCGCGAAAAACCUAUGAACCGGAGUAAGUGCAGACGGACGCUGGUGUGCUCCGACGGGCAGUGUUGCAACCAUCCAGCAAUGGAUGGUCGACGUCCCUCCCCACCUCGCUCGCCGUGGCCUAUCGGAGAAUCCCGCCCGGCAAAUCGCUCGUAUCCUACUGCUUCCGCGCCUCUCCAACAGGUCUGCAUCUCUACAAGAACUCCCUGAAGGUGCUGAUGAUGGAGUUGUAAACUUUUUCGCCGAUGCUGACAUACUUGCAUAUAUCCCGACUGGCCAAAUGACCUCGGUGAGAAACCUAUGGAGGUUUGUUUCAUAGUGGAUGUAUGCUGCGGAGUCUGCUAAGGCUUCAGGGAAUGAUAAUUUCAGGUUAAUUCUAACUUGGCUAAGCUCCACCUUUUUUAUAAGGAACGGGUCCUCACCCAGCCACACACAAUGGAGCUGGCAGCCUGAGCUCUGCAACAUCAGGAAUGUCCAACUGCAAAAUGAGCUUCUGGGUUCUCAUCAUGGACAACCGAGCGUGCAAUCUCAUGCAGCUGGUGCAAGUAUUUUUCUUGAAGUAAUGUGAGUUCUCCCUCUAGAGAAAAUGGUAAUUGUUCCAUCAGUGUCUUCUGUCUACCAUGAGUAUGCAAUGAAAAACCAAAAUACCAGUGUUUAUCUUCAGUGUAGAAAGAAGAAGUUACAAGUGGGGAUUCCAGGCGAAGCGAGAGUACGGCCUUGGUGCUAUUAUUCUCUUCGAGCAGGCGCAUCCGAGGCUAAGUUGUACUGCCAUGGUUAGUCCGUAAGGUUGAGAUUGCUUGCAUCAAUAUUCUGCUCAAUUCUGGCCCGAGCUUUUGUACAUCAAAUAUUCUUUCUAGGCGUAAUAUUCUGCCAUUAUCCUGCUUUUGUACAUCAAAUAUUCUACCUGGGCGCAAUUCACGUCCUUAUUAACCUUGAUUCCAUGUUUCUUCA